GGGGUUGUGGCUCAGUGGUAGAGCACUUGCCUUGCACUUAUGAAGUACUGGGUUAGAUCCUCAGCACCA
rfam:Ictidomys tridecemlineatus contig086670, whole genome shotgun sequence.